AGCUGAACCGAGUCGAGGAGCCUAUCCGAUUAUUUCAUUUCGUCAAAUCAACACAUCAUUUUCUCACCUCACUACUCGGUCUCAUAAGCAGUUGUGCUCUCAUGAGGGAAUCAAUCAUACCAUAGGCCGCUAUCUACACCUGUACCAUAGACCGCUAUCUACACCUGUACCAUAGACCGCUAUCUACACCUGUAGCAUAGACCACUAUCUCACCAUAGACCGCUAUCUACACCUCUACACUCGAGGAGAUUCACGCACCAUCAACACAUUAUCAUGCCGAGGGAACGCAGACUUCGUGGGAUCAAUUCAAGCGCAGUUCGCCAUCGCAUCAGUUUUGAGGACGAGGAUAUUGACAUUGAGAGUGUGCUUGAGAGGACGAAAACUCGAGUGUUCGAGAUAAUUAGGGAG